rnacentral:lncRNA from 1 species
AGGAGUUUGAGAUUUUCAGCCCCUGAAUGUAUGUGGCAAGGCCAUUAGACUCACUUUCGCCAGCUCGUGACCAUGGAUAUGAGGCUGCAGGAGUUUGAGAUUUUCAGCCCCUGAAUGUAUGUGGCAAGGCCAUUAGACUCGCUUUCGCCAGUGAACAGUGGGCGGAGCGAUGUCUGUCACUGGCAAGUGGAAACAUUCAACUGCUGCCGCAGGUCUCUCCUGUUCUCUUCUUCUUUGUGGUCGCAUCGAAGUCACACACAGAGGCUGGCCUGCAUCUGUCAGGUUGCAGGAGUGACCGGCAUGGCCUGAACCGCCCUGCUAGCCUGUAACACAUGUACAAGACUCGGGUACCGUGGGGAAGCGUGUGCUUAGCAUGGGAGAGGUCCCAGGUUCAGUCUCAGGCACCAAAAUAAACAAAAACAAAAGCCAAGAGCAAGAGA